rnacentral:rRNA from 1 species
AGUGAACGCUGGCGGUAGGCCUAACACAUGCAAGUCGAACGGCAGCACAGUAAGAGCUUGCUCUUACGGGUGGCGAGUGGCGGACGGGUGAGGAAUACAUCGGAAUCUACUUUUUCGUGGGGGAUAACGUAGGGAAACUUACGCUAAUACCGCAUACGACCUACGGGUGAAAGCAGUGGAUCUUCGGACCUUGCGCGAUUGAAUGAGCCGAUGUCGGAUUAGCUAGUUGGCGGGGUAAAGGCCCACCAAGGCGACGAUCCGUAGCUGGUCUGAGAGGAUGAUCAGCCACACUGGAACUGAGACACGGUCCAGACUCCUACGGGAGGCAGCAGUGGGGAAUAUUGGACAAUGGGUGCAAGCCUGAUCCAGCCAUACCGCGUGGGUGAAGAAGGCCUUCGGGUUGUAAAGCCCUUUUGUUGGGAAAGAAAAGCAGCAGGUUAAUACCCCGCUGUUCUGACGGUACCCAAAGAAUAAGCACCGGCUAACUUCGUG